rnacentral:lncRNA from 1 species
ACGAGACGACUGGAGCCAACAUUAGCCUGGCUUGUUCGGGGUCCCGCUUGUGUUGGCGGAGCAUAUAUAACCGGGUCACUUGGGUGUGGAGCGUCAGUACAGCUUAGGAGAGACUCAGUGUUGUCUGUGUAUCCAUCAUGUCUAUUAUGCGUUGUGUUAGUCUGGUCCUACUGCUGGUGUUCAUGGCUCUACUACACUUCUCGACAGCUCAAUAUUAUCACGAUCGUCGGUACCAGCCAGUGUAUGGCCAAGGUUACUACCAGGACAACUACGGGUAUCGUCCCACGUACGGCCACGGUUAUCAACAGUACUACGAUGAUGGGCUCUAUGGUAGACACAGGUAUAGGUACUGAAGACACAGAACUGAUGGCUAAAAGAUAAAUUUAAAGGAAAUUACUGCAUUGUAACUUUCACUGAAUAAACUACUUUAAAUUGA